rnacentral:rRNA from 1 species
UCCUACGGGAGGCAGCAGUGGGGAAUAUUGGGCAAUGGGCGCAAGCCUGACCCAGCAACGCCGCGUGAAGGAAGAAGGCUUUCGGGUGGUAAACUUCUUUUAAGAGGGAAGAGCAGAAGACGGUACCUCUUGAAUAAGCCACGGCUAACUACGUGCCAGCAGCCGCGGUAAUACGUAGGGGGCGAGCGUUAUCCGGAUUCACUGGGUGUAAAGGGAGCGUAGACGGCCAUGCAAGCCAGGGGUGAAAGCCCGGGCCCAACCCCGGGACUGCCCUUGUAACUGCAUGGCUGGGUUGCGGGAGGGGC